GACGAACGCUGGCGGCGUGCCUAAUACAUGCAAGUAGAACGCUGAAGAGAGGAGCUUGCUCUUCUUGGAUGAGUUGCGAACGGGUGAGUAACGCGUAGGUAACCUGCCUUUUAGCGGGGGAUAACUAUUGGAAACGAUAGCUAAUACCGCAUAACAAUGGAUGACACAUGUCAUUUAUUUGAAAGGGGCAAUUGUUCCACUACAAGAUGGACCUGCGUUGUAUUAGCUAGUAGGUGAGGUAAUGGCUCACCUAGGCGACGAUACAUAGCCGGCCUGAGAGGGUGGUCGGCCAAACUGGGACUGAGACACCGCCCAGACUCCUACGGGAGGCAGCAGUAGGGAAUCUUCGGCAAUGGGGGCAGCCCUGACCGAGCAACGCCGCGUGAGUGAAGAAGGUUUUCGGAUCGUAAAGCUCUGUUGUAAGUCAAGAACGGGUGUGAGAGUGGAAAGUUCACACUGUGACGGUAGCUUACCAGAAAGGGACGGCUAACUACGUG
rnacentral:rRNA from 1 species